rnacentral:rRNA from 1 species
GAAAUGCUUAGAUNUCACGAAGAACUCCGAUUGCGAAGGCAGCUUGCUGGACUGUAACUGACGCUGAGGCACGAAAGCGUGGGGAUCAAACAGGAUUAGAUACCNNGGUAGNCCACGCCGUAAACGAUGAAUGCUAGCUGUUAGCGAUAUACUGUUAGCGGCACAGAGAAAUCGUUAAGCAUUCCACCUGGGGAGUACGCCGGCAACGGUGAAACUCAAAGGAAUUGACGGGGGCCCGCACAAGCGGAGGAACAUGUGGUUUAAUUCGAUGAUACGCGAGGAACCUUACCUGGGCUUAAAUUGCAGUGGAAUAACGUGGAAACAUGUUAGCCUUCGGGCCGCUGUGAAGGUGCUGCAUGGUUGUCGUCAGCUCGUGCCGUGAGGUGUCGGCUUAAGUGCCAUAACGAGCGCAACCCUCAUCGAUAGUUACUAACAGGUUAAGCUGAGGACUCUAUCGAGACUGCCGACGUAAGUCGUGAGGAAGGUGGGGAUGACGUCAAAUCAGCACGGCCCUUACGUCCAGGGCUACACACGUGUUACAAUGGGGGGUACAAAGGGCAGCUACCUGGCGACAGGAUGCUAAUCUCAAAAACCUCUCUCAGUUCGGAUUGGAGUCUGCAACCCGACUCCAUGAAGCUGGAUUCGCUAGUAAUCGCGCAUCAGCCACGGCGCGGUGAAUACGUUCCCGGGCCUUGUACACACCGCCCGUCAAGCCAUGGGAGCCGGGGGGACCUGAAGUAUGCAACCGUAAGGAGCGUCCUAGGGUAAAACUGGUGACUGGGGCU